UACAGAGGUGGCGAGCGUUGUUCGGAUUCAUUGGGCGUAAAGGGUCCGUAGGCGGUCCGGAAAGUCGGGUGUGAAAUCCCACAGCUCAACUGUGGAACUGCAUUCGAAACUCCCGGACUAGAGUGUGAGAGGGGUGAAGGGAAUUCCCGGUGUAAGGGUGAAAUCUGCAGAGAUCGGGAGGAACACCAGUCGCGAAGGCGCUUCACUGGCUCACUACUGACGCUCAGGGACGAAAGCUAGGGUAGCAAACGGG
rnacentral:rRNA from 1 species